GACGAACGCUGGCGGCGUGUCUAAUACAUGCAAGUAGGACGCAGUUGCGAACGGGUGAGUAACGCGUAGGUAACUGCCUAUUAGAGGGGGAUAACUAUUGGAAACGAUAGCUAAUACCGCAUACUAGUAGAUGGACCUGCGUUGUAUUAGCUAGUAGGUAGGGUAAUGGCCUACCUAGGCGACGAUACAUAGGCGGCCUGGGGGGGUGGACGGCCAACAUGGGAACGGGAACCCGCCCAGAAUCCUUAGGGAGGCAGGAGUAGGGGAACUUCGGAAAAUGGGGGAACCCUGGCCGAGCAAAGCCGCGUGAGUGAAGAAGGUUUUCGGGUCGUAAAGCUCUGUUGUUAAGGAAGCGGUACUUAACCAGAAAGGGACGGCUAACUACGUGCCAGCAGCCGCGGUAAUUC
rnacentral:rRNA from 1 species